UACAGAGGGGGGCAAGCGUUGUUCGGAAUUACUGGGCGUAAAGGGCGCGUAGGCGGCCUGCUAAGUCGAACGUGAAAUCCCUGGGCUCAACCCAGGAACUGCGUCCGAUACUGGUUGGCUUGAAUCCGGGAGAGGGACGUGGAAUUCCAGGUGUAGCGGUGAAAUGCGUAGAUAUCUGGAGGAACACCGGUGGCGAAGGCGACGUCCUGGACCGGUAUUGACGCUGAGGCGCGAAAGCCAGGGGAGCGGAACGGG
rnacentral:rRNA from 1 species